GAUUCCGUGGUGCAGUUGGUUAGCGCAUCGGCCUAUGGUGCCUAGGUCGUGGGUUCCAUCCCGGGCGGAAUUG